UGUAAAGAAGAGACAGUUGGUAACAGUCAUUAACAUAACAAAGUGCACUAUAGAUCACUCCAAGUUCAUCUAACUGUUUUUAAGCAAAUGUUUUCCCCUGAGAAGUGGCAACAGAACAAUUUGUUGAAUGUUUUGCUGCCUGGGCUACUCUGUUCUGCUGGGAGUGGAAGAGAUGCUCCUGCGGGAUGGCUGGUCCUGAAACCUCCUAUUAGAGGAUAUUUUCUUGCAGUGAUAGUGUGUUAAUUUUUUAUUUUUUAGCCUGAUUUCCUAUCAAAGCUGGACACAUGGUGGGGUUGUGGGGUUUUUGUGGGUUUUUUGUGGUUUUUUUUUCCCUUCCCUCCCCUGUCUGCUGGCUGCAUUGGACAGCUUUGAGAAUAUAUGACUUCUGUUAAUACAGGUAACGAGAAAAAGAAGUCAGACAAGCUGCUGACCCUCCAUGUGAAGGAGAGGCACAGGCUUGGCCAUUGUGCUCUGUACUUGGCUGGACCCCUGGAUGAGUGACAGCACGGAGCCUGUCCUGGCAGGAUGAAAGGUGGAAAGCAAGAGGGGAAGAAGGAAUUGGGGUGUAGCACUAGCAGCUGUGAUGUACAUCUGUCAUUGAAGGGGGCUGAGUAAAGACUAAAAGUAGCUCCAAGGAGGGAAGAAGCACCAUGCACAGGAGCACGUCUGUUAGUCUGGUGCUCACAGAGAAAUUUGCUUGACUUCUGUACGUACCAUCGCACUGGAAUGAUGCAAGAAAUGCAUUGGUUGACUGUACCAAGAAGCCAUUGCUUGUCUGCCCAAAAUGAUCUAGUUUUGUCAUUGCUGUAACUUACAUGUGCUCUUGAACCAUGGUAAGACUACAGGUUUCUCCUGUGGUUUCUGAGGGCUGCCUGCCGGUGGCAACAGGGCUGGGGUGUGCUGGCAGCUGCAGUGGGUUUGGAUCUUCCUGCUGCCAAGUGGACUUUGCUCCCCAGCAGCCUGCCCAAACAUCAACCGUAUUUCCUGGCACUGACCUAACAGAAAGCUUCAACUCUGGAGAAGGUAAAUCACAGGAGUCUAGGACACAUUGCUGGCUGGCACCAAGGGAGUUACUUGUCUAAAAAUCCAGAAGAUGGAGUCUGUUGGAGGACAUGAGGCUCUGGCAGUAGCCUAAGAAACCAGCUCAAUUUUACAGUGUCUUCUGACAACUUGACAUUGUUCAACAAGAAGCAUUAAAACCGAAAAAUAAACCUGCAUUUGGCAGUUAGCUAGUAAUUCAGCAACUGACUGUGCUGCUUAAUAUUUGAUGGGGUGCUUCCUUUAUAGUGCCUAUCCUGUCACCAACAAUUUCUUAAAACAUACAGAAGGUGCAGCUGGAUUUUGUAUGGAGCAACAUGGUGGAGGAACCUCUUCGGCAGAGUGCUGUUCCUGGCAGCUGCGUCAUCCCUUCCAAAGCCAGUCCCCACUGCCCCGGGACCUGUGUGUGGUGGAAAUGUGAAGGUGAAAGGACUGACUUGCUCAUAAGAUGGCUUUGAUUCAGGAUCAGCCCUUCCCAGCCUGUGUCAGGCGUAGGUGCGGGCAUCAUGGCUGCUAUUGGACACUGCUAAUGUUACAAUUAAAAAAAGUCUAGUCUUUUUAUUGAGCAAAUGAUUUCUGCAGAGAAUAGCGUGAUAUAUUAAAAUGUCUAUGUAAAAAGCUCCCAAGGGAGAAAUUCAGAAGAAGAAAGAUUGGAUCACUAAAACAGAGAGAAACCAGGAGCUGCUAAUGUGAGGCUGAAGGAAGAAGACCAAAUCUAGUUAGAGGGUCUUCUAACCAGCAUUUCAUAAUCACCCUUUCAAGAUGAUCUUUGCAAUAGACGACCUCUGACUUCAAUACCAAUAUAUAUGUCACCAGACACAAAUCCCUCAAGAGCUAACUCAAUGAUAUUUCAAGUAAAAACUACUAGGCAGAAGUGCAAUCUGAUUAUCGGCGUGUAUGCAGCCUGGGAGGCACAGAAAGAUCUAGGAGCACUGAAGCCGGGAAGAAGCACAGGGCAUGCUGAGCCCCAUGCAGUGGUCCUGCUGGCUGGCCACCACUGCCCCUCCAGAAGUUCCACUGAUGGCAUGUGGCAUGUUACAGCAUAUCCCCAAAGAAAAGGAAUCGUGAGAUGAUUAUAGAUCCCCUUGCUGGGUUUUAAUUUGACUUUAGUAUCGUUUAAAAAGAUCUCAGAGUUGCUUUCAGUUACAAGUUUAUCACGCCCUGAAAAGCCCUGGGUUGCUGGCAGGGUGGGUGCUGGGAUCACCUGCCCUCCCUGGGGAGCUGGAGUCUCUUGGGCACUGCCUGUGCAGGCUACAAAACUGCUGCUGAGCAAAGCAGCACUGAAAGGAACUGCAAACGCGUACUUGAGUGCGGUAUUUGGAUUUAAUGAUAAAAACGAUAAAUCUUACCAAAAAUAUCACUGAGAUGAAAAGUAUGAAGUGUUUGCCAUUAGUAGUCAUCUAGGGAAUAGAGAAUAAUGAAACAGCAAAUGCAAAACCACAAGGGCCUGUAAAAUGUUGUUUCCCUGCUAAAAAUAUAUCACGGAAAAAUCUUUAAAGCAUCAGUCCCCCUCUUUUUUAUAGACCUUGCUUCAUCCAAGCACUUAUGCACAUGCUUAGUUUUCAGCGUGUGAGCUGUUCUGCGGAUGCUAUGGGUUUAGAGCAUGGGUUUAGAGCGCUGGCAUGUGGUAACAUUUGGCUGGAUCAGCCCAUGGUGAAUGCUUGUGGGAAUCUGGCAGAGGGUGUCUGUGCGGAGCCUGAUUCUCAUUUAUGCCGAGGCGGCUGUACAUGGCUCCCCGGGUGACCAGAGCUCUUGAAGCGAGCAUAAGUGUGUGCAAACACUGAACUAUGUAAUUAAUUUUAAAUCCCCUGAAGUUAACCCAAAAUAGUCCCAUGUAGACACUGUGGGGCUGGUAGACCACAGGCAUCUGAGCCCACGCCCUUGUCCUUCCCUGCAAAGGUGCUGGCAGGCAUCCCAUGGUCAUGGUGGGGCUCUCCCCAGCUGCUGCCUUCCCACUCCAGCUGCUGCCCUGUACAUCACCUGAGGGGCCACACCCCACC